rnacentral:rRNA from 1 species
UACGUAGGGGGCAAGCGUUGUCCGGAUUCAUUGGGCGUAAAGAGCGUGUAGGCGGCCAGGUAGGUCAGCUGUGAAAACUCGAGGCUCAACCUCGAGACGCCGGUUGAAACCAUCUGGCUAGAGUCCGGAAGAGGAGAGUGGAAUUCCUGGUGUAGCGGUGAAAUGCGCAGAUAUCAGGAAGAACACCCGUGGCUAAGGCGGCUCUCUAGUACGGUACUGACGCUGAGACGCGAAAGCGUGGGGAGCGAACAGG